GCACACGGUAUUCUUUAG
rnacentral:snRNA from 1 species